rnacentral:rRNA from 1 species
UACGUAGGGGGCGAGCGUUGUCCGGAUUUAUUGGGCGUAAAGAGCGUGUAGGCGGCCAGGUAGGUCUGCUGUGAAAACUCGAGGCUCAACCUCGAGACGUCGGCGGAAACCAUCUGGCUAGAGUCCGGAAGAGGAGAGUGGAAUUCCCGUGGUGUAGCGGUGAAAUGCGCAGAGUAUCGGAGGAAGAAUCAGCCGGUGGACGGCGA